rnacentral:rRNA from 1 species
UACGUAGGGUGCAAGCGUUGUCCGGAAUUAUUGGGCGUAAAGGGUGCGUAGGCGGUCUGACAAGUCUGAUGUGAAAUCUAUGGGCUCAACCCAUAGUCUGCAUCGGAAACUGUCGGGCUUGAGUAUGGGAGAGGUGAGUGGAAUUUCCGGUGUAGCGGUGAAAUGCGUAGAUAUCGGAAGGAACACCUGUGGCGAAAGCGGCUCACUGGACCAUUACUGACGCUGAGGCACGAAAGCUAGGGGAGCAAACAGG